GGUCGCGUGGCCGAGUGGCUAGGCAGUGGAUUGCAAAUCCAUGUACGGCGGUUCGAAUCCGUCCGCGACCU
rnacentral:tRNA from 1 species